UACGUAGGGUCCGAGCGUUGUCCGGAAUUAUUGGGCGUAAAGAGCUCGUAGGCGGUCUGUCGCGUCUGCUGUGAAAACCCGAGGCUCAACCUCGGGCCUGCAGUGGGUACGGGCAGGCUAGAGUGCGGUAGGGGAGAAUGGAACUCCUGGUGUAGCGGUGGAAUGCGCAGAUAUCAGGAAGAACACCGAUGGCGAAGGCAGUUCUCUGGGCCGUAACUGACGCUGAGGAGCGAAAGCGUGGGGAGCGAACAGG
rnacentral:rRNA from 1 species